UACGUAGGUGGCAAGCGUUGUCCGGAAUUAUUGGGCGUAAAGCGCGCGCAGGCGGUCUUUUAAGUCUGAUGUGAAAGCCCCCGGCUCAACCGGGGAGGGUCAUUGGAAACUGGGAGACUUGAGUGCAGAAGAGAAGAGUGGAAUUCCACGUGUAGCGGUGAAAUGCGUAGAGAUGUGGAGGAACACCAGUGGCGAAGGCGACUCUUUGGUCUGUAACUGACGCUGAGGCGCGAAAGCGUGGGGAGCGAACAGG
rnacentral:rRNA from 1 species